rnacentral:rRNA from 1 species
GACGAACGCUGGCGGCGUGCCUAAUACAUGCAAGUUGAGCGCUGAAGGUUGGUACUUGUACCAACUGGAUGAGCAGCGAACGGGUGAGUAACGCGUGGGGAAUCUGCCUUUGAGCGGGGGACAACAUUUGGAAACGAAUGCUAAUACCGCAUAAAAACUUUAAACACAAGUUUUAAGUUUGAAAGAUGCAAUUGCAUCACUCAAAGAUGAUCCCGCGUUGUAUUAGCUAGUUGGUGAGGUAAAGGCUCACCAAGGCGAUGAUACAUAGCCGACCUGAGAGGGUGAUCGGCCACAUUGGGACUGAGACACGGCCCAAACUCCUACGGGAGGCAGCAGUAGGGAAUCUUCGGCAAUAGACGAAAGUCUGACCGAGCAACGCCGCGUGAGUGAAGAAGGUUUUCGGAUCGUAAAACUCUGUUGGUAGAGGAGAACGUUGGUGAGAGUGGAAAGCUCAUCAAGUGACGGUAACUACCCAGAAAGGGACGGCUAACUACGUG